UGGGGAAUUUUGGACAAUGGGCGAAAGCCUGAUCCAGCAAUGCCGCGUGCAGGAUGAAGGCCUUCGGGUUGUAAACUGCUUUUGUACGGAACGAAAAAGCUUCUCCUAAUACGAGAGGCCCAUGACAGUACCGUAAGAAUAAGCACCGGCUAACUACGUGCCAGCAGCCGCGGUAAUACGUAGGGUGCGAGCGUUAAUCGGAAUUACUGGGCGUAAAGCGUGCGCAGGCGGUUAUGUAAGACAGAUGUGAAAUCCCCGGGCUCAACCUGGGAACUGCAUUUGUGACUGCAUGGCUAGAGUACGGUAGAGGGGGAUGGAAUUCCGCGUGUAGCAGUGAAAUGCGUAGAUAUGCGGAGGAACACCGAUGGCGAAGGCAAUCCCCUGGACCUGUGCUGACGCUCAUGCACGAAAGCGUGGGGAGCAAACAGGAUUAGAUACCCUGGUAGUCCACGCCCUAAACGAUGUCAACUGGUUGUUGGGAAUUAGUUUUCUCAGUAACGAAGCUAACGCGUGAAGUUGACCGCCUGGGGAGUACGGCCGCAAGGUUG
rnacentral:rRNA from 1 species